CACACAUCUAUUGAACACAGUGAGGAACCACGCACACAUAUCACACUUCUAUUGAACAUAGUGAAGAACCAAACACACAUCUAUUGAACACAGCCCUGUCGGUCGGCCUUUCCUCUUCAUCCUCCUCAAUGUCAACCUUCGUCUCUGACACUAACUCUGCACUGCAGGAGGAGUGUGUCCGUAUGCAGGACCUGAGCCAACUCCUGAAGUCAUACACCGACUGGAAACACACAGAGAAGCUGUUCUGGGUGUGGAUGGACAGCGUGGUGGAGGGCCAUGCGACAGACCAGAGGGUGGCGUGUCCGCUGGAUUCAGACGCUAAUGCCUCGGCCAAUAGGAGCAGAGCUGUCUGUCCCCAUGGUGACUGGGGCCUUGAGUGCCUCAACGACAUGCUGUUGGGACUUCCGACAGUGCAGAGAAAGAGAGGACAGCGAGGAGAGGAGAAGGAGCCAGGAGGACGUCGUCGGGGACAGGAGAGCGAUGACAGACCACCAGCGGAGCGCGACGGCGGGACAGCCCCCCCCCUGCCCCCCUGCCUCUCUCCUUCAGCACAGGGGUACAGGCUCAGGCUCCAGGGGGAGGCUGGGGACCCUGGGGCCCUGAGGGCCUCUGAGAGACGCCGGCUGCUGAUGCUGACAGAGUCCUCCUUACUGGAGGGGAGGGAGAGAUGCCAACGGGCCAAUAGGAUGCAGUUCCAGGAGAUGAUUGGCAGGCUAGAGGAUAUGGUGUUGAUAGCACCUUAAGUGAUUUCAAGUCUACUGAAUAAAAAAAACAAUACUGUGUGUGUGUGUGUGUGUGUGUAUGACACUUAUUGGCUCUUAUAUUCAUACCAAUCAUCUUUUAAAUCCACUCAAAUCGAUUAUCAUUAAAUCAUUUUAAUAAUUGCUACAAAGGAACACCGUUAGGAUACAGCAAUACAAAAAAAAAUCUGAAAUGACAGUGAUUUCUAAAUGAAAAUAAAUAAAUUACAAUGUGCAGGUGUAGUUAAUAUAGAUUUGCCCUGAGUUGAAUUACAUUUUGUUGUGUGGUAAUUGUUGUGCCUUAAUGAGAUGUCUUUUAAGGGCCUGCAUCACAGGAC
ensembl:lncRNA